rnacentral:lncRNA from 1 species
AAAAAAGCUCAGAAAAUAUGCAUAUUCAAAAAGAAAAGGAAUUUUAAAAAAGCUAUGUGUAAGUCUACUACCCAAAGCUAAUUACUAUUAAUAUCAUGGUUUUAUGGCCUGGUGUGAUAAUGCACACUUGUAAUCUCAGCACUUGGGAGGCUGAUCCAGGAGGAUCACUGUGAGUCUGAGGCCAGCCUGGGCGAGAGAGAGAGAGAGAGAGAGAGAGAGAGAGAGAGAGAGAGAGAGACAGAGACAGAGAUAGAGAGAGAGACAGAGAGAGAAAGGGAGAGAGAGACAGAGAGAGAGAGAGAGGGAGUGAAAGAGGGAGAGAGAUUUGUUUUGGGGCAUGUAUAAUACUUGAUUAAAAGUAAUGACUAUGUUCUGUGAUGUGAAAUGCCCCUGAGGUUAUAUAUCUUUAAAAGUUAUCUCUUUUCUUUUUGUUUUUAGGGAUUGAACCCAAUAUCUUCACAAUGAGCUACAUUUCCAGCCUUCUAAAUUACUUUAAAAAAUUUUGACACAAGGUCUUGCUACAUUGCUAAAUUGCCCAGGCUAAGGGCCAGGGAUUUAGCUCAGUGGUUCUGCCACCUGCCUCGCAAGCACAAGGUCCUGAGUUCGAUCCCUGGGACCAAAAAAAAAAAGAAAAAUUUCCCAGGCUAGAUUUGAACUUGUGAUCCUCUUGCUUCAGCCUCCUAGGGCACUGGGAUUCCAGACUCUUCAGUUUCUGGCUUCUGGUGUAAACUCUUCAGCCUUCCAUUGCAGACACAUCAGCCUCCUGAUAUGGACUCGAAAGGGACAUUGCAGUGAGCUCCAGACCUUCGAUACCAGGGAUAGAACUGAGGACCUUGUGCUUUCGAGGCAGGUGGCGGUACCACUGAGCUAAAUCACUGGCCAUUUUUUUUUUUCCAUUGUUUAUUGGUACAUUUUAGGUAUAAAAUACAGUUACAUUCAUCAUUGGGAUCUUGUAACUUUACAUGGUGUUCGUUGAUUCUUAUUUUUUUCUCCAUUCCCCUGCCCUCCCUUCACCCCCUCCACCCUUCCCUAUUUGCAAAGACUUUGUUUCCAUUUUUUUUUCUUUUCUCCUAUUUUUUCUUUUCCCUUCUUUCCUUUCUUUUUUUGGAGACAAGGUUUCACCAGGUAGUCCAGGCUGGCCUUGUGCAUCCCAGGCUGGACUUGUACUUACACUCUUCCUGCCUCAGCCUCUUGAGUGCUGGGAUUACAGUUGUGUGCCAUUCUGCUGAGCUCUACAUUGUGAUUUAAUACACUCAUGAAAUAUACUAUUUGAUAUGGUGAUGAUUUCUCAAUUAGUUUCAUAUUUGUAAAGCCAUAGGAAUGUAGUACGUAUUUAAUAUGAAGUUACACUUAAUAUAGACACCAUAUCAUAGUUACAAAAUCUAGGAGACUGAAAAUUCCUAACUUCCAUAUUGACAAAUUACCGACAAAUGUUUCAGACAAAUGGCCAAGUGAAAUAAAGAUUAUUACUCAAUCAUAUUUCUCUGAAUAUUCAGGGUUGGUUGCUAGAGACUGAGUAGACAGUGUAUUUUCUUUUUCAAAUACACUGGGAAAAACAUAUAUACCCAGAUUCCCUUUCCUUCUGUCUUUGAAAUUCAUUACAUCUUUAAAGAGCUUAGUGAGUUUGCUCAGGGAGUUGCAUGAGAAAUUAUUUUUGUAUUAGUGGUAGGAAUGGAAAGUAGUUCCUUUGUAAUGGUGCACCAGUCAAUACCUGUUUUUGCCUAAGGAUGUAUCCAACCAAUUCUGGAUAAUCCAGCUUUGAAGUGGGUUGGGCAGUGGUAGGUUUCUUUUUCAUUGCUUAGUUUGGGUUGUGAUCUAGUCAUACGUACCUUGAAAACUUAUAUAGCACUGAGGAUAUAGGCUAAUUAGGUUCCACAAAUGCUAACGUGUACAUGGCGUUUAACUCAAAAUGAUUAUGUUUUUACAACAGAUUUAUUAUCUAGAAAGAACACUUAUUU